AUUGAACGCUGGCGGCAGGCCUAACACAUGCAAGUCGAGCGGAUGAGUGGAGCUUGCUCCAUGAUUCAGCGGCGGACGGGUGAGUAAUGCCUAGGAAUCUGCCUGGUAGUGGGGGACAACGUUUCGAAAGGAACGCUAAUACCGCAUACGUCCUACGGGAGAAAGUGGGGGAUCUUCGGACCUCACGCUAUCAGAUGAGCCUAGGUCGGAUUAGCUAGUUGGCGAGGUAAAGGCUCACCAAGGCGACGAUCCGUAACUGGUCUGAGAGGAUGAUCAGUCACACUGGAACUGAGACACGGUCCAGACUCCUACGGGAGGCAGCAGUGGGGAAUAUUGGACAAUGGGCGAAAGCCUGAUCCAGCCAUGCCGCGUGUGUGAAGAAGGUCUUCGGAUUGUAAAGCACUUUAAGUUGGGAGGAAGGGCAGUAAGUUAAUACCUURCUGUUUUGACGUUACCGACAGAAUAAGCACCGGCUAACUUCGUGCCAGCAGCCGCGGUAAUACGAAGGGUGCAAGCGUUAAU
rnacentral:rRNA from 1 species